GAAGACUGCCAAGGCCUUAAAGAAAGUGAAGAGUCUUAGCCUUAAUCUAAAGUACCCGAUUUGCGUCUCGGAUGAUGCAGGAUAAAGUCUUGUAAUUCUUAGUUAAAUAGGAUAAAUAAUGGAGAUAGAGGAAGGAGUAGCGCGCUA
rnacentral:tRNA from 1 species